CUGGGCCCACCACUCGCGCACCCUGUCUCCUUCUCCCUCUGCCUGGGGCUCAGCUUAAAAUUAGCAUAUUUUAAAGAUCCCACCCCCAGCUCAGAAAGUUCACAACCGGCAUCUCUGGCAUGCAAAAAAGAGCACAGGAUUAAAUACCUAUAAGGUGCUGGGAGACACCAGGCAGGUUGUUGUGUUCAGUCUUUCCAAUGACCUCGCCAGAGGAGGAUCUCCUCCCCUUCAAAGAAGAGGCACUUUCCUGAGGUCCUCAGAAUGGUCUUUGGUGGGAGCUACGAUUCAGAAACCCAGACAGUGGAAACACAGCCCAGUUCUAGAAUCAGGCAAGCAAGCUCAAGGCGUCUUUCUUUGGUUCGUGAUCAAAGGCAGUUCAUGUGGGGUUUUCCCCGAGAUGGGCCCGUGGGGACCCCUGGGGGCAAACCCCACACAACCCUACAGUGGUCACCGGACAAACGUGGUUGCCACAGAGCCCAGGUCUGUCUCAAACCCAGGGAGUCACAUGGUCACCAGGAAUUAAAAGAAGGCCAGAGGUAGGAAACAGAGACCAGAGUCAUAAGGUUGAAAUCGAAGAAAAAGAAACAACACAGUCCUUGCUUACACUUCAGGCCAGAAGCUGCACUAGGUGUUUUCCCACAGAGGAGCAGCAAACAGAGGAGACGAGACAGACCAGUGUAGAGAAGAUGGGCCCAAAUAUAGGCUGGAUCGUAAAUCAGUUUGUGGUUUCCUAGUUCAUUGAACAAACCCGACUCCAGUGGGCUGAUGGAUGGUUCCAUUUCCGCCCAGAGGGAGGUCACUGGAGGUCUCUGCUCGGCCUCGAACUUACCAACAGGCGCCUACCCGCAGAGGAGCGGAUGCAGACGCAGGAAGCAGGCCUGUCACCCACCGGGGAGGGAGGGAGGAGGCACCCCGGGUGCUUCCAAGUCACCCCUUGUCUCUCUCCUCCUAAGUAAAGGCAGAGUGGAUCAGAGUCACACGUGCCCAGGAGCCAGCUUUUCCACCUCCCCGUGCUCAUGCUGACUGUUUGAGGAUUCACACGACCCUGGCAGGCGUGGGCCACGGGUGAUCCCAGCAUCGAGCAGGAGAGCAUCACAGAGAUGGAUGUCACGGCUUGCAUUUCAGGUCUUUCCGUCAGAGGCUAACGGUGCUUUCUUGUGAAGCCUGCAAGAGAGAUUUGGUGCAUGGACAAGCGAUUGUGCAGAGGGGCAUAGGGUGGACGUACUACGCACGGGCCCGUGUUUUCAUAUGAUGGGCGCAGGCCCUUUCCUCUAUCUUGGGAGAUCCUGUAGAGUCUCUCGUGGAGCUCCUUCCUCGUCAGCACUCUCACGCAUUUGAAGAGUUGUGGCACUUCCUCCUGUCGCCAUUCCAGAAUUUAUUUAACUAGGAUCCCAUGAAUGAGCAUUUAGGAUUUUUUUUUUUUUUUCCAUUUAGGAUGUUUCUAAUCUCUCACUACUAAAAUCAAUCCGACAGCUGAUAUCCUUGCACACGAGUCAUUUUGUAACCCUGGGGGUUCAACUGGAAGGCUAAAGACCUGGCAUGGAACGGUGGAACCGUGGGGUAAAAGGUGACAUGCUGUUUGUGGUUUUGAUUCAUGUUGCCAAACUGCAACUCCCCCCACCGCCCCGCAACCCCCGGGGAGGCUGUGCCCCUUUGUCUCCCAACGGCUAUUCGGGAGGCUUCCCGUUCCCCUUCAUCCCUGACCACACAGGGCAUUACCACAUCUGUGAUCUUUGCGAGCGUGACAGGUGGCAAAUGGCACUGCAGAAGGGUUUUUUAAUUUUCACGUUUUAGGUUGUGAGAUUGAGCUGCUUUUCAUACGCUCAAGAGUCAUUUACAUCUUAGUUUCUGUGAACUGACUGUAUCUUUUAUUUUUCUUGAUUUAAAAUUUUUAACACAAAAUGUCUCAAGUAUGCAAAAAGAUAUGUAUAUUCAGUAUAUAUAUUUACAUCUAUGUAUUUAUGUAUAUAUAUAUAUUAGCAUAAGGCAUAAAAGUAGAAGAACAUCCACAGACCCGCUACCCAGCUUAAGAAACAGACCGCCAGCAAUACCUUUAAAGUUCUCUGUAUUCCUUUUCCCCUCCGAGAGUACCCACAUUUCUGAAUUUUGUUUGUAUAUACAUAUACAUGGGUGUGUGUGUGGGUGUGUGUAUACAGAGAGAAAGGGAGAGAGAUGGGGGAGAGAGAGAGAGAGAGUUUAUCUCCUUAAAUAUUAUGUUGUUACGUAUGUUUGGGGGCUUUUAUAUGAAUGGUGUUGAGCUGUAUAUAUACUUCUGCAACUGACAUUAUUUUAUUCGACAUUUUGGAAGCCCUAGCAUUGUUUUUGAAAACUGUCAUUGUUGUUGUGAAUAGUUGUAGUUUACUAAUUUUCACUGCUAUGACAUAUCACAUUGUAGGAGGAGACCACAAUCUAUCCUUUCCCCUAUUGACGGCUUUGUGGUCACCCCCAAAUUUUUAUUAUUGCAGCAUUGCUGGGAACAUUCCCUUUUUAAAAACAUUUUUAUUUAUUUAUUCACAAGAGACACACAGAG